rnacentral:rRNA from 1 species
UCCUACGGGAGGCAGCAGUGGGGAAUUUUGGACAAUGGGCGCAAGCCUGAUCCAGCCAUGCCGCGUGGGGGAAGAAGGCCUUCGGGUUGUAAAGCGCUUUUGGCGGGGAAGAAAAGACUCCGGCUAAUACCUGAGUUAAUGACGUACCCGAAGAUUAAGCCCCCAAUUC